rnacentral:rRNA from 1 species
ACGCUCGACACCUACUGGAGGCAGCAGUGGGGAAUAUUGCACAAUGGGGGAAACCCUGAUGCAGCGACGCCGCGUGGAGGAAGAAGGUCUUCGGAUUGUAAACUCCUGUUGUUGGGGAAAAAGAGGAUGGUACCCAACAAGGAAGUGACGGCUAACUACGUGCCAGCAGCCACGGUAAUCUGAGCGGGCUGGCAAGGC